rnacentral:lncRNA from 1 species
UUGGUGCUGAUUGCUACGCUGAAAAUCCAUCAAUUCUGGACUAACAAAUUUAGGCACAGAGUAAGAGAAGAAGGAAAUUUUUGUCUGACUUUCUCUAAUUAUACAAAAAAAAUCAAGAAAAUCCCAUCUCAAAUUCUACACAAGAAUGAAGAAUUUGAUGGCGCAUAAUCAGAUCUCACACAACUCCAGACGAGAUUAUGCCUGUAUCCAGUUAAUCAUGCAUAUGUAUGUGUGAAAAUCACUAGCAAUCUCAAAUAUAAGAAACGUAAAGAGGCCAUGAAAAGGCUGCUCACUUUUUCUUUCAGCUAAGUACAAUCACUGAACACAACAAGAAAGGAUAAUGAUUGCCAAGGAAGUGGAUUAAGGACAAAAAAACAAAAGAACGCAAGAAACAUAAAAACAGCAAAGUUCAGUCACUGAAUAUGGGGAUUUCUGUACUUUCCACCUUUCUUUCGAAAAAUGAAAGUGUUUUGGUAUAGGAGGAACAAGGUUGCAGGUGACGGAAAAGGCUUAAAAAAGGAGAGAGGAAGAGAGAGAUGAUGAGUAAGUGAAAGUCUUAAAGAAGUCCAGCCAAUGAGAACUAAGGUCACCCUGCGAUCUGGGUUUUCUGGGCAUUUCAGCGC